AGGGGGUGGAGUCUGUUCCUAUGGGGACCAGGCUGAAGAGGGGGUGGAGUCUGUUCCUAUGGGGACCAGGCUGAAAAGGCAGUGCGUGAGGGGGUGGAGUCUGUUCCUAUGGGGACCAGGCUGAAGAGGGGGUGGAGUCUGUUCCUAUGGGGACCAGGCUGAAGAGGGGGUGGAGUAUGUUCCUAUGGGGACCAGGCUGAAAAGGCGGUGUGUGAGGGGGUGGAGUCUGUUCCUAUGGGGACCAGGCUGAAAAGGCGGUGUGUUAGGAGGUGGAGUCUACCUAUGGGGACCAGGCUGAAAAGGCUGUGUGUGAGGGGGUGGAGUCUGUUCCUAUGGGGACCAGGCUGAAAAGGGGGUGGAGUCAGUUCCUAUGGGGACCAGGCUGAAAAGGCGGUGUGUGAGGGGGUGGAGUCUGUUCCUAUGGGGACCAGGCUGAAAAGGCUGUGUGUGAGGAGGUGGAGUCUACCUAUGGGGAUCAGGCUGAAGAGGGGGUGGAGUCUGUUCCUAUGGGGACCAGGCUGAAAAGGCGGUGCGUGGGGGGUGGAGUCUGUUCCUAUGGGGACCAGGCUGAAAAGGCGGUGUGUGAGGGGGUGGAGUCUGUUCCUAUGGGGACCAGGCUGAAAAGGCGGUGUGUGAGUUGGUGGAGUCUGUUCCUAUGGGGACCAGGCUGAAGAGGGGGGGGUGGAGUCAGUUCCUAUGGGGACCAGGCUGAAAAGGCAGUUUGUGAGGGGGUGGAGUCUGUUCCUAUGGGGACCAGGCUGAAAAGGCGGUGUGUGAGGAGGUGGAGUCUACCUAUGGGGACCAGGCUGAAAAGGAGGUGGAGUCAGUUCCUAUGGGGACCAGGCUAAAAAGGCGGUGUGUGUGGGGGUGGAGUCUGUUCCUAUGGGGACCAGCCUGAAAAGGCGGUGUGUUAGGAGGUGGAGUCUACCUAUGGGGACCAGGCUGAAGAGGGGGUGGAGUCUGUUCCUAUGGGGACCAGGUUGAAAAGGCUGUGUGUGAGGGGGUGGAGUCUGGUCCUAAGGGGACCAGGCUGAAGAGGGGGUGGAGUCUGUUCCUAUGGGGACCAGGCUG
ensembl:lncRNA